AUGAAGAGACAAUUGGAUAUGACUAAGUCCAGGGGUGGUGACGUGUUCUUACCGAUGAUCAAUAUCGAUGUUUGCCGAUGGCCAUAACAGGAAGGUUGCCGAUGACUCUGAAGGAAAGCGUGGAGAUUGCCGAUCGAUCCGUGGUGGUGUCCUGGUCGGUUACAAGGGGGUAGUUUUAUGUUUUCCUUAGUUAUUUAAAUUCGUUUUGUAUACGGAUUCUGUUUAAUUUGGAAUUCGAGUCCUAGUCGUGUCUGAUUGUAGCUCUUCGAGCAGGGUAUAAAUAUAGACCCUAGGGCCUUGUAAUGAGAUAUCUAUUAAUCAAUCAAACACAAGUUUUUACUCAUAUUCUAGCAUCUACUUUUUCGACGACUUCGUCACAUUUUUCCUUUUUUACGAGUUCUUAGGAGUUCGUCGACUUAAGCUCGGCGUAUUCUCGAGUUCCGCGUGAAUACCUCUUGGCCGUGACAUCCGGGCGCAUCGCUGUUGUCGGGACCAAAGUAUUCGAGUUAUCACCUUUGCCGAUAGUAAGGUCAAAUCGGCUGGCACGCCUUAACGUUUGAAUCAGGUAUUAGCCCUUUGUGUUUGCAGAUCAACUUUUGCACCAACACAUCUUUUGGCACGCCCAGUGGGAUAGAUUCAAGAUCAAGAUCAACAUGUCGAACACCGAUUUUGACUUGGAGAACGUCAUCCCCAUGACGGAAGCCAAUCUCAGAGAUGAGCAGAAGCAAGCUAUUGCAAAAGCCAUGGAGGAUUACAAGCAGCAAUGUUUGAAGUCCUUCAGUAUCAACAGGAGCGGCGAGGUAAUCCAAAAGGAAGCACUGCCGGCUCCUCGGUAGCUUACUUUUGAAGCCAAUCCUGGUAAACUCCAAGACAUGGUCGUCAAUGCCGUCAACCGUGCCUUGAUCAACCAAGCUAGUGUGCUGUCCAAUACGAUUUUCAACGCCGUGGCUAGAACUUUCAAAGAGGGACAAUUGUCACCAAAUUAUGUGGGCCCUGUCUAUCAUCAGCUAGGAUCACCAGUUGUCACAGCUCCAUCAGCUACUACGGCCGUUGCGGGUACAGAAACUACUACUCCUCCAAGCACACUAGAACUCACUAAUGUGCAAUCUACGCCGAUGACAACUAAUCCACCAACAUCAGAUGAGCAAAUUAAGCUUGCCACAGAUCUAUUGGCAUCGGCAAUGUCGGGGUCUGUUCCUCCCAACUGGUGGGGUUAUGGUAUGCCCCCAGAGAUGAUGUUGAAGACGCCAGGCAUGUCUCAAACGGCUGACAUGAGAGGCAAGGCUCCUAUGACAUCGGCACCUCCAAAUCUACCGAUGAAUCAGAGUCCCCAGUAUACUACAACUACUACUGCAAGACCUUACACUGGGAAUUCUCAAGCUCCAAUGUUCUAGAUGCCUAAUGCAUCGGCGGAUUUAAUGCUGACGCAACAAAGGUUUAUGACAUAGCCAGGGUUUGUCGAUUCAAUGAUGAUGCCCAAUUUCCAGUCAUCGGCAGGGUUUUUAUGCCGAUGAAUGCCAACAAUGGAUGGACAGGGCAGCCAGUCUUUCCACAGAUGCCUCAACAGGAUCAUCAGGCUCCAGGGUUUCAACAAAGCCAGGUCCAGCCUGGAUUCCAGAAUCAACGGUUGGCCAACCAGCCGAUGAAUCUUGGUCAGCAGUUUGGUGGACAGAUGAUCAACCCUAUGUUCCAUGCAGAUCGUGCGCCUCAGCGACACGUGGAAGUUUAUCAGCAGGCGCCAGAUCCACAGCCACCCCAUCGGCAAGAUGUCGAUGCUUAUUGGGAUGAUAAGAUUGCUGAAGUAAUGAGAGACCAAUUUGGGAUAAAACCCAAAGUCAACACUUACUCUUAUCGGAUGCCGUAUCCUCCUGCAUACGAUUUAAUUCCACUUCCAAAUUGGUAUAAGGUACCAGAUUUCACUAAGUUUUCUGGACAGGAUGAUACAUCGACUAUGGAGCAUGUCAACAGAUUUAUCAUCCAAUGUGGGGAAGCUGCUAACAGAGAUGAGUUAAGAGUUCGCUUGUUCUCAUCGUCUUUAUCUGGGUCGGCUUUUACUUGGUUUAUUUCGUUACCUCCUAACUGAGUGAUCACUUGGGCCGAUCUGGAGAAGCAAUUCCACAAGUACUUCUUUUCUGGAGUCCAUGAGAAGAAGAUUACUGAUCUGGUCAGAUUAAAACAGCGCAAUGAUGAAUCGGUUGAAAGUUUUGUGCAGAGGUUGCGGGAAGUCAAGAAUAAAUGCUAUAGUCUGGUUUUGGACGAUCGGCAGCUAGCCGAUUUGGCUUUCCAAGGUUUGUUGCCACAUAUCAGGGACAAAUAUGCUUCUCAAGAGUUCGAGAGCCUGAGUCACUUGGUCUAGAGGAUUUCCGACUAGGAUAUUAAGCCCUUUGAACCUAAGAGAGCUUGGAACAAAAAGAUGUCGUUUGUUGAUGAAGCAGCAAGCUCAGAUUCUGAUGAAGAGCCAGUCAUCGGCUUGGCAGAGUGGGUGAAAAACAAGAAGCCGAUGUCUUACCCUUUUGGUCAUAAGGAGCCACAGAAGUUUGCAUUUGAUGUCACCAAAGCCGAUAGGAUAUUUGACUUUCUACUUCAAGAAGGUCAGAUCAAAUUGUCCCCCAAUCAUGUAAUUCCAUCGGCUGAAGAGUUGAAGAAGAUGAAAUACUGCAAGUGGCACAAUGCAACCUCUCACAGCACCAAUGAGUGCAAGGUUCUUAGACAACAGCUGCAAUCGGCUAUUGAAUCUGGGAGAAUCAAAUUUGAUAGUUCCAAAGCUCAGAAUCCGAUGAAGAUCGAUCAACAUCCUUUCCCAACAAAUAUGUUGGAUGCUAAGGGAAAAACCAAGGUCUUGACGUCGGAAGCAGCUGAAAGGAGUGCAUCGGUAGAUGCUCAGCAUCAAAUUACUACUGCCGAUGCCAAAGGAAAAGGAGGGAACUAACUCAGGAAGGCCUCCCCAAUCUGGUAUUGUGAUAACUCAUAGAAGGCCUCAGGAGACUUGGCAGCAACGAGAGGAUCGGCAUAGGCGCCAGCAAGAAGACUAUCAUCGGGAAGAAGAAAGACGCCGACAGGCGUGGAAUCGGCACAAGGAUCACUGGAACUGCCUGUUCUUUAUCCAUUGCUGGGAGCAGAACAUUAAAUUACCCACUGAUAGAGAUUGCCCUGAGUGCAAUGGUUAUGAUCGGUAUGAUAGAUCUGAUCGGCGCUAUCACGGAGAUGAUCGGAGAUUUAAUGGGCCGAUUAGGGGGAGAGCGUCAGUUCAUGAUCGGCUGGGGGGCAGGCUUAGUGUACAUGACAGGCUUGGUGAUCGCGUUGAAUAUUUUCCCAGGAACCAAGAAGAGCUUGAAGAAAUGGCCAAUGCGCGAAUUCUCGAUGAGUUCAUAUUUUGCAGGGACGCCAAUACUCAUCGGAUGGAGUUAAGGGAACAUCGUCGUCCAUCGGCCAGGCAGUCACCACUUCCCCCAUGGUGUCCAGAGGGGUUGACUAAGACACAGAAGAGGAGACUGCAACGCGAAAGACGAGAAGAGCUAAGCAAGAGCGAGAACUCUGGCCAGUCUGGGGAUCAGCAACAACCAGAUCCUAAAGGGAAAGGGCCAUCGGCAGAUGUUAACAUGGUAUUCAUGCUGCCGAUGGAAUUCCUUGCGCCGUUCGGCGAUGAUGAGGAGUUGGAGUUUUCCGACCAAAUAGCUCAAUUGGCUCUGGAUCCGAUGACGGCUAUCUUUGAAAAGCCUGCCGACAAUGAAAGGCAGCAUCUUAAAGCUUUGUUUGUCAAGGGAAGAGUUGAUGGUCAGCCAAUGACCAAGAUAUUAAUUGAUGGUGGAGCUGCUAUCAACAUUAUGCCGUAUGCAGUCUAUCGGAAGCUUAGAAAAGGAGAUCAAGAUUUGACCAAAACCGAUAUGAUGCUAAAAGAUUUUGAAGGGAACAUGUCUCCAGUUAAGGGAGCAAUCUGCGUCGAAUUGACCAUCGGCAGCAAGACCUUGCCGACGACCUUCUUUGUGAUCAGUGGAAAAGGUGCUUAUAAUUUGCUACUAGGGAGAGAUUGGAUUCAUGCCAAUUGUUGCAUCCCAUCUACGAUGCACCAAUGUUUGGUCAGUGGGUAGGCGACAAGAUUGAGAUUGUCCCGGGAGAUUCUUCUUAUGUCAUUGCAUCGGCAGAAGCUGAUACCUAUGAGAGGACCAGGUGCAUCUCGGGAGAGAUUUGGGAGAAGGAUUUCCUUAAGGUCGCUGAUUAUGAAAUUCCACCGAUCUAAGCAGUCGGUUCUGAUGAGGAGUUUUAAUGGAUAGAUUCGCCGAUGACGGAAAGUUAGGCCACGAGUUCACAUCGGCCAAUGAUUUGGUAGAAGUAGAUAUAGGUAGUGGUGACAAGCCUAGACCUACUUUUAUUAGUGCUAAGUUAAAUUCUGAGUGUAAGCAGCAGUUAACCGAUUUGUUAAAGGAAUAUAAAGAUUGCUUUGCUUGGGAUUAUACUGAGAUGCCUGGUUUGGACCGAUCAAUUGUUGAACAUCGGUUACCCAUCAAAUCUGGAUUUCGGCCACAUCAAUAGCCAGCUCGCCGAUGUAAUCCUAAUAUUCUUCCUGAUAUUAAGGCUGAAAUAACUAAACUUAUCAAAGCUAAAUUUAUUCAGCAGUGUUGGUAUGUCGAGUGGAUUUCCAAUGUUGUUCCAGUCUACAAGAAAAAUGGGAAGCUUCGGGUUUGCAUUGAUUUCAGGAAUCUUAAUAAAGCUACACCGAUGGAUGGCUACCCAAUGCCGGUUGCCGAUCUGCUAGUUGAUGCUGCGGCUAGGCAUCGGAUCAUCAGCUUUAUGGAUGGCAAUGCAGGAUACAAUCAAAUAUUCAUGGCUGAAGAAGAUAUUCCAAAGACUGCAUUUAGAUGUCCUGGUCAUGUUGGGUUGUUUGAAUGGAUAGUUAUGACCUUUGGUUUGAAAAAUGCUGGUGCUACUUAUCAGAGGGCUAUGAAUUUUAUCUUUCAUGAGUUCAUCGGCAAGCUGGUGGAAAUUUAUAUUGAUGAUGUGGUGGUUAAGUCUGGGGAUUUCACAAAACAUCUUGCCGAUUUGAGAAAGGUGUUGGAGUGUACGCGGAAGCAUGGUUUGAAGAUGAACCCUAACAAGUGUGCAUUUGGUGUAUCGGUAGGGUAAUUCCUUGGUUUCAUGGUGCAUCAAAGGGGGAUUGAAAUUAGUAGGAGAUCCAUUGAUGCUAUCAACAAAAUAGUUGCUCCUACCAACAAAACUGAGCUCCAGUCCUUGAUCGGCAAGGUAAAUUUUAUCAGGAGGUUUAUAUCUAACUUGUCUGGUAAAAUUCGUGCUUUCAGUCCUUUGCUUAAACUGAAAGUCGAUCAAGAGUUCAUCUGGGGGAGAGAGCAACAGUUGGCUCUAGAUGAGAUCAAGAAUUAUUUGGUAAAUCCUCCAGUUCUGAUUCCACCUCAGCAAGGAAAGCCCUUCAGGUUAUACUUAUCUACCGAUGGUAUGGUCAUCGGUUCGGCUUUAAUUCAAGAAUUUGAAGGAAAGGAACGUGUGAUUUAUUAUUUAAGUAGGAGGUUGAUUGAUGCUGAGACCAGGUAUUCGGCCAUUGAAAAGUUAUGUUUAUGCCUAUAUUUUUCAUGUAUUAAGUUAAGGCAAUAUUUACUAUCGGCCGAAUGCACUGUUAUAUGCAAAGAUGAUGUGGUUCGGUAUAUGCUAUCUAUGCCGAUCAUGAGUGGUAGAAUCGGUAAAUGGAUUUUGGCACUGUCGGAAUUCGAUCUGCGCUAUGAAUCGGCUAAAGCGGUUAAAGGACAGAUUAUGGCUGAUUUUGUAACUCAACAUUGCGGUGCAGUGGAAACUUUGGAAAUUGUGCCUCGGACAUUCUUCUUUGAUAGAUCCACGUGUGACCGGGGGGCAGGAAUCAGCAUAGUGUUAAUUUCCCCUCAGGGAAGGAAGUAUGAAUUCUCUUUGCCGAUUAUUGCCACGUCGACGAAUAAUCAAGCUGAGUAUCAAGCCUUAAUUAAGGGGUUGGAGUUGUUGAAAGAGGUUCAUGCUGACAGUGUUGAAAUCUUUGGGGAUUCUAUGUUGGUUAUAAAUCAAUUAGCUGGAAGUUAUGAAUGCCGAAGUGAGGUCUUAAUAACGUAUUAUGAAAGGAGUAUGCAACUGUUGAAGGAACUCAAGGAUUUCCGAUUGGAGCAUGUUCCUCGAUUGCAUAAUGAAGAGGCCAAUCGGUUGGCUCAGCAUGCCUCGGGAUAUCAGCCCAUAUUAAGCACAAUAUCGGCAAUCAGUGCCGAUGAUUGGAGAAAAGAAAUCAUUGAUUAUUUAAAGGAUCCAUCCAAGAAAGUUGAGAGACGUGUUCAGUUUCAAGCCACCAAGUAUGUGCUCCUCGAAGAUGGAUUAUAUUAUCGAACAAUUGAUGGGAUUCUUCUCAAAUGCCUAGGUGAUGAUGAGGCUACAAGUUUAAUGGGAGAAAUUCAUGAAGGAGUAUGUGGAGCACAUCAGUCGGCUUUUAAGAUGAAAUGGAUGAUUAGGAGGAAUGGGUAUUAUUGGCCAACCAUACUUGAAGAUUGUUUUAAAUAUUUCAAGGGGUGUCAAGGAUGUUAGAAGUUUGGCAAUAUUCAGAGGGCACCCGCAUCGGCCAUGAAUCCCAUUAUUAAACCUUGGCCGUUCCAGGGAUGGGCUAUUGAUCUAAUCGGCCAAAUUUACCCACCAUCAAGCAAAGGGCAUAAAUUCAUCUUGGUUGCCACUGAUUAUUUCACCAAGUGGGUUGAAGCUAUUCCUUUGAAGAAAGUCACAUCGGCUAAUAUGAUUGAUUUUGUGAAAGAGUAUAUUAUUUACCGAUUUGGAAUUCCUCAAACAAUUACUACCGAUCAGGGUACUAUGUUCACAUCAGGGGAGUUUGAUGAGUUUGCAAUCGGUAUGGGAAUUAAAGUAUUAAAUUCUUCUCCUUAUUAUGCUCAAGCUAAUGGGCAGGCCAAGGCAUCUAACAAAGGAAUUAUCAAACUUAUUAAACGGAAGAUUGAGGAAAAUCCUAGGAGGUGGCAUACAUUGUUAAAUGAAGCUUUGUGGUCAUAUCGGAUGGCUUGUCAUGGAUCGACCAAGGUUUCACCUUAUCAAUUGGUGUACGGGCAUGAUGCAGUGCUACCUUGGGGAAUUAAAACUGGGUCUAGGCGACUGUCUUUUCAAGAUCAAUUGGCUGCCGAUGAUUAUACUACUUUGAUGACAGACAAGUUGGAUGAUCUAGCAGGGCAUCGGCUAAGGGCUUUGAUUAGUAUAGAAGAAAAUAAGAAGAGAGUUGCAGAUGGUAUGAUAAGAAAGUAAAGGCAAAGGAGUUUGCCGAUGGAGACUUAGUAUGGAAACUAAUCUUACCGAUCGGGACUAUCGGCAAGACGCUGGGCAGCCUUUUGAUAUUGCAACUGACGACUCUCUAAGUGUGCAGCCUGAAAAAGAACCUCCUCGGCAUCGGUAGGGAUUUGACCUCUGAGAGCCUUGAACAGAACUUUGGGUGGAUCAGAGUCAUCGACCAAUUGCGCUGUGUCUUGAUGGAGAAGGGGUGACAGAUCCACCAGCUUUGCUCUAAUCUCUACCGACGAGAUUCCAACUGCUCGAGAAGAACUUGCUUCCUCGCCUUCAUCCUCAGAGAUCUCGAUGGCAAAGGAGAACAGGCUGUCGGGAGAAUCUUGUUCCUAGAAAAGAAGACAGAAUAAGUUGUUUUAUGAUCAAGUACUGAUAACGAUAAAAAUAAGGAUCGGGUAACUUACUUGCUUCAGAGCCAUCUCUCGCCUCUGACUAGUUGAAGCCGAUGGAACCACAGGUUGAUCGGCUGGGAUUGCCGAUGAGACUAUGUCGGCUGAAAGAUUAACAGAGGUAAUUACAAAUUGGAAAAAGUGGGUUCAUCGGCAAUGAAUAAAAAGUAUGUUACCUUGAGGAGGCGCAGUACUAGUCUGAAUCGAGGAAACUAUCGAUGCUAUGAUUAAGCUUGCUGGAUCGGCAGUCUGCUCGCGUACAUCAGCCGAUGUUUCUUCUGGCUGGAGUUCUUCUAUUUGGGUUUCUUCUUGUGGUUGAGGAGGAGACGGUGCUAGUUGUAUCUGAGCUUCUGGAGGAGAAGGAGAUGAUUCUACUGGGAUCGGAGAUACUGGGGGAGGAGAAGGCGUUGUUGUUCUCUGGCGCUUCACUUGUGAUCUGGUACUCUUGGAGCCUUUUCUCUUCGGUUGACUGGACUGGGGGGCAUCGGCAGUCGUACUUCUGGUCUUUGCUGAUAUACCGGUGUGCUGAUACAACAAUAAGAAGUUUAUGAGUACAAGUGUGAUAGGUAUAAGAAUGAAAUCGGUAUGAAUAAAAGAAUUCGAAAAUUUACCUUGAAGGCUUGUGCUAAGGUAGAGGCAGCUACCGAUGGGGAUGUCUUCAUCCGCUUGGUGGUAACUUUGUUAAGGCGCACACCCCGAUGCAUUAUAGUAGCUAAGGUUGGAGCGUUGUUACCGAUCAAAGAGAUCGGGCCCGAUGGGAGGAGCUCAAUCGGCUUACCACUCCUGCUGACCAAUGGCGGUGUGUCAUCGACCUGUAUAUGACAAAGAAAGUGAGUUGCCGAUUGAAAAAGACAGUGAAGGAAUUGAAGCAUCGGUAUUAAAGUACUUACAGUGUUAUCAGAGACUUUGUGCUGGGGGUCGAUCAUGCCGCGGUAUGUGAGAACCGAUCUACAGAAUAGGUGUUCAUUCCAUUCUUCCCACCACUGUUUGUAUAUCUGAGUAAUGAAGAGAGCUGGAAUCCAAGCCGAUAGAUCAACAUCUGUAUCGGCAUUUGGUGGAAGUUGGGCUACUCUGAUCCACUCGAGAUGGCUAGUGAUAGUAGUUUCCCUUGGCUUUAUCACAUCAGCGUAGCAAAGUGCAAUCGGCAGUUGGCCGAAGGCUAGUUGGCGAGCUAGUGCCGAUGGGUUAUAAAACUCAUAAGUCAGAUUGGAAGCUUUCCCACUACCGAAGAAGUUCACUGGAAUGGCUCUUGGGGUGAUAAUUGCCAUCAUCACAUCUCGGUCCUUGUUAAGAGCAUCGAUGAAGGGGUGGAAAGUCAAAGGAAAUCUGGUAUCUGGGUCUUCAUAAGGCAUCCAUGCCCGCUGUUCUCUGGUCAGACCCUCAUACAGAGUUUGGAAGAAUCGGCUAACCUGGUCUGCGUUACCACCUGUGCGAGGCAAAACUAUGGCAGCUUCGCCAAAGUUCAGAGGGGAACGAGUUGCCGAUUCUUCUUCAUCCAGUUCAUAAUCCUUGGCUAUAUCCCUGGGGAAGAGCUGUGCAAAGAGGUCGAACUCGAGGCGCUUGUGCAUGUGGAGACUAAGCCACAUAUUGAUGAACCACCAGGGACCCCCUAAGUUGCCGAUGGGUUGACCAAGCAGUAGUUUCUGGGCUACCUGGUGGAGGAGGUGAUAAGCAGAGCCAAGUAGGUAUCGGCCGAGAGGAAAUCGGCCACCAUUGGCUAAUCUUUCUGCUGCCGACAAGUAAACAGAAGUUGGUCCUCCCGACGGCCACAGAACACGAAUUUAUCCAGCCACAUGUUCAGAAAAGUGGUCUGUUCCUUUGCAUUGACAGGACCUGUUCUUCGGUACUUAUGAAUGUACCCUGACCAACCGCCGAUAGCACGAGUUUCUACCUUAGCACUGGGUUUGGUAUCAAACAGGUGGGUGGUAUCGGCAGUGGAUACAUCUAAGCCGGUGAGCAUAAGUACAUCGGCAAGUGUAGGAGAAGCAGGGCCAUGGCCAAACACAAAAUCAUUGAGUGUGUCUGACCAAAAGUAUGAGGCAGCUAUCAGUAGUGACUCAUUUCUCUCCAUAUCGGCAAGAGACAAUCUAAUGCACUGAUCUAAUUUCCGUUCACCCCAUUGGACCUCAUUUGAGUUACUGACUCUCAGAAACCAAUCCUUCCAUCCCUUAGUAGGACUGGGCCAGGAACGAAAGGCAUCUUUCCAUAGAUCUAGAGAAAAAUUCUUGGCUCUGAAGGGGAUUCUGUUUGUCUCUGCGUUUAUAAGAUCGGUGGGAUCUAAGUUUCCUAGUGGGCCAAGGCAUUGGAGAUGGGGUUGAUCGGUAGGGAUUGCGAUCUUGUUGGCCAAAUCCUAAAGAUUGUAAGGAUGGAAGAAAAAGUAAAAAAAAAAGGAAUAUUCAGUAAAAGGAAUUGCGGAUGGACAAAAGUACGGCAAAAGUAUGAAAAAAGAAGGGGGGUAAGCUAACUUCUGGGACGACGAAGUUGACGGCCAUUGCUCCGCGAGGAAGAAGAUCGAAGACUUGGGGUUGUUGGAAGAAGUUCUUGCUGGGGUUCUUGGAGUUCUCAAACAAGUGCCGCCGCCAGGAAGGCAGAGUUUGGGCUGUAGAAUGAUGUGAUGGAGAAGGAGUACCAGAGAAAGAAGUAUUUAUAGGACAAAACGGGCAAAGGCAAAUUUGACUUAUCUCUUUGCCGCAUCCGUGAAACCCGAGGGUACUCAGGUGGAUAUGGUAAUUGUUCGCACGAUAAUCAAGGGAUUGCGCAGGUGAUUUGACAGGAAGCGGUCAUGAUUUUGGAGAUAUUUCACUGUGCAAGAUCUCCUGGUCGGUCCAUCGGCAGUUUCUCCUAACGGUAAUAUUGCCGAUAGGCACAUAAAGUGGAGAGAUCCGGUUCGGAAGGUUGAGGAAUUCGAGGAAUCUGCAGGAGAAUCGGACCAAGGUUGUUCAGAUUUAAACGGUCGGUUACCAAAUUGGGAGAACUAAUUGCGGAAAGGCAUCAUUACUGCAGAGAAUUUUGGAGCAUCAAUGAUGUUAUACUCCGAAAUUGGGGGGCAUGUGUUGACACCGUUUUUAGACACGUACCCAGGGACCUGUAGAAUAUAGAUCGGCAGGUGGAGCAGCGGUAACUGGUCUGCAGAAGAAUUGCCGAUGAGGAUAGUUGCCGAUGAAGAGACAAUUGGAUAUGACUAAGUCCAUGGGUGGUGACGUGUUCUUACCGAUGAUCAAUAUCGAUGUUUGCCGAUGGCCAUAACAGGAAGGUUGCCGAUGACUCUGAAGGAAAGCGUGGAGAUUGUCGAUCGAUCCGUGGUGGUGUCCUGGUCGGUUACAAGAGGGUAGUUUUAUGUUUUCCUUAGUUAUUUAAAUUCGUUUUGUAUACGGAUUCUGUUUAAUUUGGAAUUCGAGUCCUAGUCGUGUCUGAUUGUAGCUCUUCGAGCAGGGUAUAAAUAUAGACCCUAGGGCCUUGUAAUAAGAUAUCUAUUAAUCAAUCAAACACAAGUUUUUA
rnacentral:lncRNA from 1 species